rnacentral:rRNA from 1 species
AGCCUUUACGUUUUAGCACGCAGGAUAGUCGAACGGAAUGGAAAGUCCGGCCGUAGCAGGUGAUAGCCCUGUAGACGAAAUUCUGUGUGUGGAACUAAGCGUAAGACAAGUAGGGCGGGACACGUGAAAUCCUGUUUGAAGAUGGGGGGACCAUCCUCCAAGGCUAAAUACUCGUGAUCGACCGAUAGUGAACCAGUACCGUGAGGGAAAGGCGAAAAGAACCCCGGAAGGGGAGUGAAAUAGAUCCUGAAACCGUAUGCAUACAAACAGUAGGAGCCUCCUUGUGGGGUGACUGCGUACCUUUUGUAUAAUGGGUCAGCGACUUACAUUCAGUGGCAAGGUUAACCGAAUAGGGAAGCCGUAGCGAAAGCGAGUCCGAAUAGGGCGAUUUAGUCGCUGGGUGUAGACCCGAAACCAGAUGAUCUAUCCAUGGCCAGGUUGAAGGCACGGUAACACGUGCUGGAGGACCGAACCCACUAAUGUUGAAAAAUUAGGGGAUGAGCUGUGGAUAGGGGUGAAAGGCUAAACAAAUCUGGAAAUAGCUGGUUCUCUCCGAAAACUAUUUAGGUAGUGCCUCAAGUAUUACUGCGGGGGGUAGAGCACUGUUAUAGCUAGGGGGUCAUGGCGACUUACCAAACUAUGGCAAACUCCGAAUACCCGCAAGUACAGCUUGGGAGACAGAGCACCGGGUGCUAACGUCCGGACUCAAGAGGGAAACAACCCAGACCGCCAGCUAAGGUCCCGAAUUAUCGCUAAGUGGGAAACGAAGUGGGAAGGCAUAGACAGUCAGGAGGUUGGCUUAGAAGCAGCCAUCCUUUAAAGAAAGCGUAAUAGCU